rfam:Triticum aestivum genome assembly, contig: Triticum_aestivum_CS42_TGACv1_scaffold_129493_2BL
AUGAUACUCCCUCCGUCCGACAAUACUUGUCAUCAUAAUGAAUAAAAAAGAUGUAUCUAAAACUAAAAUACGUCUAGAUACAUCCCCUUUUGUUCAUUUCGAUGACAAGUAUUUUCGGACGGAAGGAGUACAAA